UGGGGUGUGGGGUAACGGUAGCCCGCCUGACUCUGGAUCAGGUAGUCAUGGUUCGAAUCCAUGCACCCCAGCCA
rnacentral:tRNA from 1 species